AUUGAACGCUGGCGGCAGGCCUAACACAUGCAAGUCGAACGAGUGGCGGACGGGUGAGUAAUGUCUGGGAAACUGCCUGAUGGAGGGGGAUAACUACUGGAAACGGUAGCUAAUACCGCAUACCAUCGGAUGUGCCCAUAUGGGAUUAGCUAGUAGGUGGGGUAAAGGCUCACCUAGGCGACGAUCUCUAGCUGGUCUGCGAGGAUGAACGGCCACACUGGAACUGAGACACGGUCCAGACUCCUACGGGAGGAGUCAGUGGGGAAUAUUGCACAAGGGGCGCAAGCCGGAUGCAGCCAUGCCGCGUGUAUGAAGAAGGCCUUCGGGUUGUAAAGUACUUUCAGCGGGGAGGCGUUACCCGAAGAAGAAGCACCGGCUAACUCCGUGCCAGCAGCCGCGGUAAUAC
rnacentral:rRNA from 1 species